GUGCUUGCUUUGACAGUACAUACACUAAAAGUGGAACAAUACAGAUAAAAUUGGCAUGACUCCCACGCAUAGAUGACACACAAAUUUGUGAAGCAUCCAUGUGCUGU